rnacentral:rRNA from 1 species
UACAUGGGGUGCAAACGUUGCUCGGAAUUAUUGGGCGUAAAGCGCACGUAGGUGGUCUGUUAUGUCAGAUGUGAAAGCCCUCGGCUUAACUGAGGAAGUGCACCUGAAACUGGCAGGCUUGAGUACGAAAGAGGGUCGCGGAAUUCCCGGUGUAGAGGUGAAAUUCGUAGAUAUCGGGAGGAACACCGGUGGCGAAGGCGGGUCUCUGGGCCGUAACUGACGCUGAGGAGCGAAAGCGUGGGGAGCGAACGGG